CACGUAGGGCGCAAGCGUUUGUCCGGAAUUAUUGGGCGUAAAGAGCUCGUAGGCGGCCUGUUGCGUCCGCUGUGAAAACUCGGGGCUUAACCCCGAGCCUGCAGUGGAUACGGGCAGGCUAGAGGUAGGUAGGGGAGAAUGGAAUUCCCGGUGUAGCGGUGAAAUGCGCAGAUAUCGGGAGGAACACCGGUGGCGAAGGCGGUUCUCUGGGCCUUACCUGACGCUGAGGAGCGAAAGCGUGGGGAGCGAACAGG
rnacentral:rRNA from 1 species